CCAGUAGUCCGAUAGAUUUUGUGUUAUCAAUAUUCUUCUAGUAAAUGAAAAUGAAAAUUUUCUAUAUUUGUGUUCUCAUAGUGUCUCUAUGUCUUUUCAAUGUCACCAAUGGCUCUCUUCUCUUAGCAGCCCGUAAUGGAUAUAAAUUGGGUCGCCUGGGAUUAUUUUCGAGAGGCUUGUAUGACCGAGCUGAUCGCACGAAAGGAUAUUAUCCACCACCACCAAACACGUUCCCUUUAAUUUCUAACGAUCAUAAACUAUUAGGCAACAAACAAUAACCAAUAAUAUGCUCUUUCCAUGCUUCUUGUCAUGCUGCAAAUCAUCAAUACCUGUUUCUGGGCCAAAGAGCUUCCUAUUUUUAUUAGGUAAUUAAGGUAUUUAAAUAGGUAUUGAAUGCAAGCUAAGGAAGGAAAUAGUCGAGUGCUUGUACUGUAUAAUUUUAUUGCGACCGCCGAUUUUGAUUUAGUUGUCUCUAAUAUCUUAGGAGUGCGUGGUACAAAAUUAAAUGUCUGCUCAGCCACUAUUGUUCUACUAAAUCUAGUCUAUCACUAAUACAUGUAUCUUUCUUUUUUAUAAUUAUUUUCGUAAAAUGCGGAAUUCUAAUAAAAAUGUAACGUAAAUGUUGUAUUUAUUUCCUAACUGAAUCUGUACUGUCUAAAGGUCUAUGUCUCUUAACACAUGAAUGCUAAACGUAAAUGCAAACACGAUAAAUUAUCGCAAAUUCGACUUUAAAGUCGUAGUAAUAAACCCAGGAUUUCAUUUAUAUGGGUUUUACGCUAAUGUUAUAUAUAAUGGUUGUCCUCACUUUUUGCCAUUAUGUCCUUAAAAGUAGACCAAGUUAGUGUUUGAAUUAUUUUAUUUAAUAUAAAAAAUGAGAUCUCUCAGAUUAUUUCUAUUGGUUUUAACAGUUGUUCUUUUGUUUGAGUCAUUCAGCGCUCAUUGGAUAGGUGGUUAUGGCCGCCCCGGCCGUUUUGGAUUCGGUCGAGGAUUCUAUGGAAGGGGAUUUUAUGGACGGGGUUUCUAUGGUCGCCCGUUUUUGGGAGCCCCAAUACGACCACCAUUCUUCUACCCGCCCCCACUUAUAUAUCCACCACCACCUUUUUACGGUUAACAAAUGGGUUUAAAAUAUUUUUUUAUAUUGUUGAACAUAGAAUUAAUAAUAAUAAAUCGACGACAUGCAACAUUUCACGACAGCUGCUUAGGGUCCUUCAAGAAAAGAACGUACCAAUUUACGGCCGGCAACGCACCUCCGAACCUUCUGGCACUGUUAGUGUCCAUGGGCGGGGCGGUAUCACUUAACAUCUGGUGAGCCCGUUUGCCCCUGUUACAUAAAAAUAAAUUUAAAUGACUUAUAAAAUUUUACAAAUUAAAUAAAAUGCUUUUUUUAAAUUGUAAUAAGAUAUAAAUAUCACUUGGCCCUACUGCGUAGUACGCUUACUUUUAGAACACUAAAUCGAUUUUAUAUUCACAGUAUAAGUAUGAAAACCACUAAGGUAUGGAUCAUGGGUAUUUAUAUCAGAAUUUAGUGAUUUAAUUUUAGGAAACCGAAAGUGUAUUGCAUUCCUUAAUCUUGUUAAAUUAAUAAAAUGUUAUAAAUAU